rnacentral:rRNA from 1 species
UACAGAGGUCUCAAGCGUUGUUCGGAUUCAUUGGGCGUAAAGGGUGCGUAGGCGGCGUGGUAAGUCGGGUGUGAAAUCUCGGAGCUUAACUCCGAAACUGCAUUCCAUACUGCGGUGCUUGAGGACUGGAGAGGAGACUGGAAUUUACGGUGUAGCAGUGAAAUGCGUAGAUAUCGUAAGGAAGACCAGUGGCGAAGGCGACUUACUGGACACAUAUUGACGCUGAGGUGCGAAAGCGUGGGGAGCAAACAGG